rnacentral:rRNA from 1 species
AUGUCGCAGCCGGCUGCCGCCGCCGUUGCGGCGCAGCCGCAGGGGCAGGCCGCGGCUGGGCGGCAGGGAGGCGGCCUGGGCCAGAGCCUCGCCGGCAUCGUGCGGAUGGCGGUGUUCUGGUACUUCGCGUCCAAGUUCUUCGGCCCCAAGCGCGCCCCCACGGAGCCGGGGUUGCUCAUGUCCAACCUCUUUCAGAAGGGAGAGCCAAUGGAUAUGUGGAUGUAUUUAUCGGAGAAUGAUAAAUUUAGCGACUUUGGUAAUGAGGAUGCACUCAUCUGGCAUGAAACAAACAUACCAUAUGCAGUCUGGACACCUACCAGUACCAGAACACACACACUGACAUACUAUCCAACGGAGGCUCUCAAGCACAAUGGCUCUUUGUAUGCUCAUGUUUAUUUUUCCCGUUCGGGUUACCCUGUGGACCCUACCGAUCCUGAAUAUGAGCAAAAAUCUGCAUUUGGAAGGACACAUCCUAUUGUGGCAUACUUGCGGAAAUCAAAAGCUGGUCACAAGAAGAGCUUGCUUGGAGAUUCGGAUGAGUCCGAGGAAAAGCUACCCCCUAAGGAGAACAAAGAGUCCGAAGACAAAGAGGAGGGCCCAGUUGAAUAUAUUUCUUAUUGGAAACCAAAUGUGACAAUAAAUCUUGUUGAUGACUUCACACGGUAUCCCCAAAACAACAUUCCUCCAAAUGUUGCUCCAUAUUUGAAUGUGGAUCCAACUACAAACAGCUACUAUCCAACUGUAUUCUUCAAUGAAUUUUGGCUGUUGAGGGACAAAUUGACAGCACUCAACAAGACUGUGAAGGAACUGACCUUGAACCUUGAAGUUAGUCCUAUCAGCAUGACCAAGUGGCAAUUAUUUCUACAGAUUGAGCAGUCUUUCCAAGUUCAUCGUAGUUACGGAAGUAUGCUUGAAGGCGAGGCUGAUGAGCUCAAGAGGGUUUUCCUUGAAGGAAAUCCAUAUCUACUGGGAUUGACCAUGAUUGUAUCUCUGUUCCACUCUCUGUUCGAUUUCCUGGCUUUCAAGAAUGAUAUCCAGUUCUGGAAUAAAAACAAGUCCAUGGAAGGUCUUUCAGCGAAAUCUGUUGUUCUGAACUUCAUUUGUCAGCUGAUUAUAUUUCUGUACCUGCUUGACAAUGAUACAUCAUGGAUGAUUCUUGCUAGCUCUGGAGUUGGUGUGUGCAUUGAAUUCUGGAAGAUAGGAAAAGCGAUGCAUGUUGAGAUUGACAGAAGUGGAAAGAUUCCCAUGUUGAGAUUCCGGGAUCGUGAGUCAUAUGCACAGAAUAAGACCAAGGAGUAUGAUGCGCUUGCGAUGAAGUAUCUUACAUAUGUCCUUCUAGUCCUUAUGGCUGGUUUUGCUAUCUAUUCACUCAAGUAUGAUAAACACAAGAGCUGGUACUCGUGGAUACUCUCUUCCCUCACAAGUUGUGUUUACAUGUUUGGUUUCAUUAUGAUGUGCCCACAAUUAUUUAUCAACUACAAGCUGAAGUCCGUUGCUCACAUGCCAUGGAGACAAAUGACCUACAAGUUCCUCAACACUAUAAUUGAUGAUCUGUUUGCAUUUGUGAUUAAGAUGCCGUGGUUGCAUCGUCUCUCGGUUUUCAGAGAUGAUGUUAUCUUCUUGAUAUACCUCUACCAGAGGUGGGUAUACCCAGUUGACAAGAAGCGUGUCAACGAGUUUGGCUUUGGAGGGGAAGACGAACCAGCAGCACCCCAAACUUUGGAAGGAGCAGCGGCUGCCCAACAGAUCGAGGCCAAGGCUGAGACGAGCACGGAGGACAAGAAGACAAAGUGA